GUCGAACGCUGGCGGCGUGCUUAACACAUGCAAGUCGAACGGAAAGGCCCUGCUUGCAGGGUACUCGAGUGGCGAACGGGUGAGUAACACGUGGGUGAUCUGCCCUGCACUUCGGGAUAAGCCUGGGAAACUGGGUCUAAUACCGGAUAGGAGCCAUUUUUAGUGUGAUGGUUGGAAAGUUUUUUCGGUGUAGGAUGAGCUCGCGGCCUAUCAGCUUGUUGGUGGGGUAAUGGCCUACCAAGGCGGCGACGGGUAGCCGGCCUGAGAGGGUGGACGGCCACAUUGGGACUGAGAUACGGCCCAGCCUCCUACGGGAGGCAGCAGUGGGGAAUAUUGCACAAUGGGCGCAAGCCUGAUGCAGCGACGCCGCGUGGGGGAUGACGGCCUUCGGGUUGUAAACUCCUUUCGCUAGGGACGAAGCUUUUUGUGACGGUACCUAGAUAAGAAGCACCGGCUAACUACGUG
rnacentral:rRNA from 1 species